rnacentral:rRNA from 1 species
GACGAACGCUGGCGGCGUGCUUAACACAUGCAAGUCGAGCGGAAAGGCCACUUCGGUGGUACUCGAGCGGCGAACGGGUGAGUAACACGUGAGUAAUCUGCCCUUGGCUUUGGGAUAGCCACCGGAAACGGUGAUUAAUACCGGAUAUGACAGCGUCACGCAUGUGGUGUUGUGGAAAGUUUUUCGGCCAGGGAUGUGCUCGCGGCCUAUCAGCUUGAUGGUGAGGUAAUGGCUCACCAUGGCUUCGACGGGUAGCCGGCCUGAGAGGGUGACCGGUCACACUGGGACUGAGACACUGCCCAGACUCCUACGGGAGGCAGCAGUGGGGAAUAUUGGACAAUGGGCGGAAGCCUGAUCCAGCAACGCCGCGUGAGGGAUGACGGCCUUCGGGUUGUAAACCUCUUUCGCCUGUGACGAAGCGAAAGUGACGGUAACAGGUAAAGAAGCACCGGCCAACUACGUGCCAGCCGCCGCAGUAACAC